AUCUUGUUAGUGAGGAUUAAAUACUUGGAACAAUCCAGCACAAGCGUCAGUUCUACUGGAAGUGAAUAGGGCAAACUUUCCUAUGAGCUGCCCUACUUACAACCCAGAGGUGCACCACGGGAUGGCUUCCACAGCCUCACAAUGGAAAGAGCCACAGUUCUCCAUGCUGCAUGGCAAAGCAAAGGCAGGAAAGUAAACACCAGGAUUCACCAGGUGCAAAGCAAACAGCUCAAUAACCACCACAGUCACAGCCUGCCCUGCUCCAGUGCUCAUAGGUGGAGCUUAUAGGUGGAGUUCCCAGGUGCCUCCCAGUGCCCAGCCCAAAUCCAGCUGCCUUCAGCCUCUCAGCUGCCACAGGUAUGUGCAAUCAGAUAUGGAAGCCAGCUGCAACGUGAGCUAUGUUUUCCUUUCAAGCUUCCUCUCUUUACCUGAAAUGCUACAUCUUCCACAGCUUUAAGGUUCUCUAUGCCUUUGAAAAAGAAUGCCAGAGCAAGAAGAACAAACAAAAGGCUGCAGCUCCCCAGCUCCAAGAGCAGAGGAGUCGUCACCCAGAGGUGACCUAGGGGCUUUGAACACCAGGCACUGUUAGCUGUAAAUGCAGACCACUACAACGUUCUCAAGAUUUCCAAUUGCAGUAAAGGCACUGGGAGCAAGAGAUGGAUAGGUUGCCAGCUGUGUCAGUAUGAUAAGACAAGCAAGGACACCAAAGCUUUCAUUUGAAAGCAACUUGAAACCUCAGCAGUGACACAGGGCAAAUCAGCACAUAAGCUGCACAUGGAACUCUGAGCAAGGCACUGUGGGCAAACGUUUCUUAUCUUCAGCUGACGUCAAUAGGAAUAGCAGCAAAGUGUUUCCUAGAGAGGAGGAGGAGAAAGUCCAAAAGAUUUUUCAGCAGUAAAAAAGUGCUUUUUAUAAAGCAGUGCUUUAUAAAAUGUUACUGCUUUUCAUUGACAAUGAGCAGACAGAAUCACCCACAAGUUCUCCCAGAAGUCUGCUUGCUUGUAUGGAUUUAACAGUGCCAUUCCUGCAGGAAUGCUGCCUGCUAUCUCCGCUGCAUCCCAAAGACAACCUGGGAAGCAAAGUCUCUCAAGCAGCACAAGGGAGCAGAGAUGUGCUGGUGCUUCUUGAUAGUUUCUCUUCCUGCCACACUUUUGGAAAACAAUUGAAGGACUGCCAAGGUCAAUGGCACUGCGGUGAUUUCCACUGGUGACAGACAGAAAGCUAGAUCACCAGUGUGUCCCUGAAGCACAGGAUAUGAUGUCCUCUUGGGAACCCAGCUGGGGAAACUGGAAUUCAAAGGUAAACAAAAUCUUCUGACUCACAGUCCCUAUGGUCAGCCACGAGACAAUCCUCCUCUCCCAUCUUAAGGUCUGUGAGGCCCAAGAAGCUGACUCUGACUCACUGAGGAGGGCUGAGGACUGGGCCAUUUCCACAGUGUGCACCUUUCUUCCUGACAGCGCAGACAGAAGUCAGACGGGAGAAAGCCUGCACCGCACUGCCCCAGUUUCUCUUCAGGUAUCACUGGGCCUUGAUUGUUCUCUUUGGUACAAGAAUAAGUUAAACUCAUAUUUGUAAGUAUCUGUUUGAACUCCCCUGCACUGAUAGGCACAGGCAUUGGGAAAUUUGUAUUUAGUACCACCACUGCUGCAUCUUUGAACUUAAUUUUGGAAGCACCCCUGUCACCCCAGUGAAAGUAAAACACGAUAUGGAACUAAAAGCUUCCUGCCAGACUUACAAUGCUAAGUGCUGCCAGCUUUUUCUGGAGAAGAGUCUUCAGUAAAAUAUUUUCUAAUUGAGGAAUGCUGAUUCCUUCAAACUGUUGACUUUCUGGUGAGAACCACAAAGGAAAAC